ACCGGCAAACGGGUGCGGAACACGUACGCAACAGUUCCUUUAAUGGGGGAUAGCCCAGGGAAACUUGGAUAAAUACCCCGUAAUAUUAUGAGGUGGCAUCAUCUUAUAAUUAUAGCUUCGGCGCUUAGAGAUGGGCGUGCGUCUGAUUAGGUAGUUGGCGGGGUAACGGCCCACCAAGCCUACGAUCAGUAACUGGUGUGAGAGCACGACCAGUCACACGGGCACUGAGACACGGGCCCGACUCCUACGGGAGGCAGCAGUAAGGAAUAUUGGUCAAUGGACGCAAGUCUGAACCAGCCAUGCCGCGUGAAGGAUGAAGGUCCUCUGGAUUGUAAACUUCUUUUACCUGGGAAGAAACCCAUAAUUUCUAUUGUGGUUGACGGUACUAUGAUGAAUAAGCACCGGCUAACUCCGUGCCAGCAGCCGCGGUAAUACGGAGGGUGCAAGCGUUAUCCGGAUUCACUGGGUUUAAAGGGUGCGUAGGUGGGCAGGUAAGUCAGUGGUGAAAUCUCCGGGCUUAACCCGGAAACUGCCGUUGA
rnacentral:rRNA from 1 species